AUACGUAGGGUGCGAGCGUUGUCCGGAAUUACUGGGCGUAAAGAGCUCAUAGGUGGUUUGUCGCGUCGUCUGUGAAAUUCCGGGGCUUAACUCCGGGCGUGCAGGCGAUACGGGCAUAACUUGAGUACUGUAGGGGAGACUGGAAUUCCUGGUGUAGCGGUGAAAUGCGCAGAUAUCAGGAGGAACACCGGGGGCGAAGGCGGGUCCCGGGGCAGUAACUGACGCUGAGUAGCGAAAGCAUGGGUAGCGAACAGGAUUAGAUACCCUGGUAGUCCAUGCCGUAAACGGUGGGCGCUAGGUGUAGGGGUCUUCCACGACUUCUGUGCCGUAGCUAACGCAUUAAGCGCCCCGCCUGGGGAGUACGGCCGCAAGGCUAAAACUCAAAUGAAUUGACGGGG
rnacentral:rRNA from 1 species